AUACGUAGGUGGCAAGCGUUGUCCGGAUUUAUUGGGCGUAAAGCGCGCGCAGGCGGUCUUUUAAGUCUGAUGUGAAAUCUCGCGGCUCAACCGUGAGCGGUCAUUGGAAACUGGGAGACUUGAGUACAGAAGAGGAGAGUGGAAUUCCACGUGUAGCGGUGAAAUGCGUAGAGAUGUGGAGGAACACCAGUGGCGAAGGCGACUCUCUGGUCUGUAACUGACGCUGAGGCGCGAAAGCGUGGGGAGCGAACAGGAUUAGAUACCCUGGUAGUCCACGCCGUAAACGAUGAGUGCUAGGUGUUAGGGGUUUCGAUGCCCUUAGUGCCGAAGUUAACACAUUAAGCACUCCGCCUGGGGAGUACGACCGCAAGGUUGAA
rnacentral:rRNA from 1 species